rnacentral:lncRNA from 1 species
AUUUCCUACACUUUUACAGAUGAAUAAGAAAAUAAGAGUAAAAAAGUUUCAAUAAAAAUAACAAAAUCCAAUGUAUAGCCAGUCAUUAGAAAAUAGAGUAAAUGUUAUUUGUAUAGAUAUAUACAUAGUAUACAUGAUUACAAUUUUAUUUAGAUAGACCUGUAAACUAUAUAUAUACAUACACACUAUAUAUUUGUAAAUAUAUCAUAUAUCAGCUCAUAAUUCAAGUAUAGAAACAAGCAGAUGUUAUAAUGUUGAUAAAAUAAUAGACUAUGUACUAAGUGUAACACUAACGCUAUUGAAGAUGAAUACCAUUUCAUACUUGAAUGUCAAAUAUAUAAUGAAAUCCCAGAAAAGUAAAUUAAAAAGUAUUAUUAAAGAAAUCCAUCUAAAAACUAUAGAGAAUUAGAGGCGAACAAUUGUUCAGGGAAAUAUCCUUUUGGGUAAGACUGUUGUUCAUGUUUACUAUACAAUAUGGGUUUUGCCCAUUUUUAAGGCCAUACAGUGACCUCUAGAUGCUUACAUUUACUCAAUUUGUUUUUUGGUUCAUAGUUGACUCAUUGACUAUCAUACCACAUCUUCUUAUCUUUAAUUUGUCUUGCACUUCAAUAAUGCAAUAUAG